ACUACUCUACUUUCUUUCAUUACAGAAUGAAUUUGGAAGAUGAACAUCGAAAAGGACACCAAGAUGGUUGAUCCCUAAUUAAAGGUGGUGACAGUGUGGUUAUACACGAGAAUGCAAGCUAUAUGGAAACAUGAGAGCAGAGGAAGAACAAUCGGUGAAGCAAAACGCGGAGGUGAAAUUGGAUCAGUAUUGGCCUGAAAACCGGGAGUGCCUCUGUAUAAGCUGUUGGUUCUUUUUGCUUGCCAUGUGGGGAAAUAUACUGGCCAUUGGUGCUAUCAGACUGCUCCACCUGGAUAGCUGGCUGCUGCCACAAGCCUUUUGCCACUACUAAAAAUAAACUGCCACAAUUUAUAAGAGGUGCUGAUUCUCAAAUCAAAGAUGGCUGUGCGUUCCACUGUGCACGGCCAUUUUUAAUUUUUGGCUGGAGUUUCAAUAAAGGAAAGGUCCCGCAGAUCAACUUGUAGAAGAGCGUUGUCCUCAGCCUUCCAGUCUCUCCUUUUCCCUUGAGGUUUGGAGCUGCUCCAGGGUAACUGCAUUUGCCAUGUCUGUUACUUCCUUCCACAACCUGGAUCCGUGAACUGGAUACAAGGCAGGACAAGAAUGGCUUUCAAGAGAAUAAGGGAAAAAAUACACCAACCAGAUGCCAUUAAUCCUCCCCUUGCCUUCAACAUUUGUUGCGUUCACUACAGUGCAUAAAUAAUUGAGAAUUAAAUGGAGUUUUGAUCAACUUGAUUUGGACAAUUUCUGGCCUGAGCAACUGGGAGAGAAGAAUUAUAAAAGGUAUAAUUUUUCCUAUGAAGAAUAGCUGUAGCAUAGUGGAACA